AUAUACAGGGGGUACCGGUACAGAGUCAAUGUGGAGGCUAUAUACAGGGGGUACCGGUACAGAGUCAAUGUGGAGGCUAUAUACAGGGGGUACCGGUACAGAGUCAAUGUGGAGGCUAUAUACAGGGGUUACCGGUACAGAGUCAAUGUGGAGGCUAUAUACAGGGGUUACCGGUACAGAGUCAAUGUGGAGGCUAUAUACAGGGGGUACCGGUACAGAGUCAAUGUGGAGGCUAUAUACAGGGGGUACCGGUACAGAGUCAAUGUGGAGGCUAUAUACAGGGGGGUACCGGUACAGAGUCAAUGUGGAGGCUUUAUACAGGGGGUACCGGUACAGAGUCAAUGUGGAGGAUAUAUACAGGGGGGUACCGGUACAGAGUCAAUGUGGAGGCUAUAUACAGGGGGUACCGGUACAGAGUCAAUGUGGAGGCUAUAUACAGGGGGGUACCGGUACAGAGUCAAUGUGGAGGCUAUAUACAGGGGGUACCGGUACUGAGUCAAUGUGGAGGCUAUAUACAGGGGGUACCGGUACAGAGUCAAUGUGGAGGCUAUAUACAGGGGGUACCGGUACAGAGUCAAUGUGGAGGCUAUAUACAGG
rnacentral:lncRNA from 1 species